rnacentral:rRNA from 1 species
GUGAGGAAUUUUCCGCAAUGGGCGAAAGCCUGACGGAGCAAUGCCGCGUGAAGGAUGAAGGCCUAUGGGUUGUAAACUUCUUUUCUCAGAAAAGAAUUAUGACGGUAUCUGAGGAAUAAGCAUCGGCAAACUCUGUGCCAGCAGCCGCGGUAAGACAGAGGAUGCAAGCGUUAUCCGGAAUGAUUGGGCGUAAAGCGUCUGUAGGUUGUUUAAAAAGUAUUCUGUCAAAGAUUAGGGCUUAACCCUAGAUAGGCAGAAUAAACUUUUAAGCUAGAGUUUGGUAGAGGCAGAGUGAAUUCCCGGUGGAGCGGUGAAAUGCGUAGAUAUCGGGAGGAACACCAAAGGCGAAGGCACUCUGCUGGGCCAAUACUAACACUGAGAGACGAAAGCGAGGGGAGCAAAUGGGAUUAGAAACCCCGGUAGUCC